AAAGUACUGCUACAGUAUGGCACUAUAGUUGUAAGGACUGAGAUUUUUACAGUGCUACUAAACUCUCUAUUGACGAUGUUUAUGUGUGUAAUUUAAUUACAUAAGCACUCGUCAAGUUUCAGGAAAAAAUGAGCUAGAACGGAGAAGUUACGCGAUUAUUAGUUUUCACUUAAAGUGAAUAGUAACCCGAUUUUUUGGAGAAGUUACGAAGUAGAGUUGGCUUUCGGCAUGUAUCGGACUCCGUUCAUAGUGAUCCAAUAGCUCGUUUCGACCGGUUCAGCUAUUCUGGAACCAAUGGCACUGACGGAUUUCAGAUCUGAUGCACGGUUUUCGAGAGAAAGGAGUUUUACCGAAAGAGGGUUUU
rnacentral:lncRNA from 1 species